rnacentral:rRNA from 1 species
GAUCAUGGCUCAGGAUGAACGCUGGCGGCGCGCCUAACACAUGCAAGUCGAACGGACGAUGAAGAGCUUGCUUUUCAAAGUUAGUGGCGGACGGGUGAGUAACGCGUGGGUAACCUGCCUCAUACAGGGGAAUAGCAGCUGGAAACGGCUGAUAAAACCGCAUAAGCGCACAGUGCCGCAUGGCACGGUGUGAAAACUCCGGUGGUAUGAGAUGGACCCGCGUCUGAUUAG